rfam:Picea glauca, whole genome shotgun sequence.
UACAUGGUCUUUUUUAAGACCAUACAAGGUAAUUUUUAGGUUGUA